UGGGGAAUAUUGGACAAUGGGCGAAAGCCUGAUCCAGCCAUGCCGCGUGUGUGAAGAAGGUCUUCGGAUUGUAAAGCACUUUAAGUUGGGAGGAAGGGCAGUAAGCGAAUACCUUGCUGUUUUGACGUUACCGACAGAAUAAGCACCGGCUAACUCUGUGCCAGCAGCCGCGGUAAUACAGAGGGUGCAAGCGUUAAUCGGAAUUACUGGGCGUAAAGCGCGCGUAGGUGGCUCGUUAAGUUGAAUGUGAAAGCCCCGGGCUCAACCUGGGAACUGCAUCCAAAACUGGCGAGCUAGAGUAGGGCAGAGGGUGGUGGAAUUUCCUGUGUAGCGGUGAAAUUCGUAGAUAUAGGAAGGAACACCAGUGGCGAAGGCGACCACCUGGGCUCAUACUGACACUGAGGUGCGAAAGCGUGGGGAGCAAACAGG
rnacentral:rRNA from 1 species